CCCGGAAAUAGCUUCGUUUGAAUAUCUGAACUGGUGAAAUUUUUUGACACUGAAAAUUACAAGCUAGGAUAGAUAUGACAACUGAGACAGGAACACCGUGUGUGCACCCACUACGAACCACGUCACUUUGAUGUUUGGCUGUCUGGUCCUGCUGAUGUCAUAUGCAGCCUCUGACAAGACCCCUGGUGAGUUGAGUGAUGCAGAAGAAACCAAGGUCAGGAAGAAGAAGCAAGAAUCAACGGCACUAAGCUUCCUCCCACUGCGAUAUCUGGGCCUGACAGACUGCCAAGUCAGAGGGAGGUAACCCUCCCUUCAUCUCAUUUAGGAAGACAUUACACCAAGCCAUGUUGAGAGAGCACCUGAGCUUUAAGGAGGUUCGUGUCUCCAGUGGUCAUUGGACGAGAAAAGGGUUACACUCUACUGGUCGCCAUACCAAGCUAAAGGAAUGAAUGC